rnacentral:rRNA from 1 species
UACAGAGGGUGCGAGCGUUAAUCGGAAUUACUGGGCGUAAAGCGUGCGCAGGCGGCGCGUUAAGACAGGUGUGAAAGCCCCGAGCUUAACUUGGGAAUUGCGCUUGUGACUGGCGUGCUGGAGUGUGGCAGAGGGAGGUGGAAUUCCACGUGUAGCAGUGAAAUGCGUAGAGAUGUGGAGGAACACCGAUGGCGAAGGCAGCCUCCUGGGCCAGCACUGACGCUCAUGCACGAAAGCGUGGGGAGCAAACAGG